UGGGAUCAACCAACCAAAGCUUUAGAGCACCCCAUCUGGGAUUUAGGAUCAGUGGCCCGUGGAACUCAAGAAUGUCAGGUGGGGAAUCUUGCUUCCAGAGGGAUGAAACUAUGGCGCUGAAAUGAGAACACGACGCUCAGCCGCGGGUUUGAGGUUGUGUGGUCUCUGCUCUCAGGAGUUGUGCAGCUCUGAAUCACCACUGUUUUUCUGAAACGCUCCAGGAUAAUAAGAUAUCCCGUCAUCCUGUGACCAUCAUGGCUGGAACAUCAGUCAAAGGCCGCCUGUAUUUGGUCUCCCGAAGCCUUGACCCUGGCCAGCCCUUCAGCCCAGGCAAGUCAGUGAUGAUGUGGCAAUCGUGAUGCAACUCUGUGCAAGUUUCCAGGACCCCUCCUCCAUCUGCAAGAACACUAUCUCUUGUGCUCAAACAGGUGGGCAGCCUAGACAAGAGCCUUAUUACUCAACAUCCAACUUGAGAAACACGGAUCAUUCCAGCAUUUAAAACAGAAGGAAUCUAAGUUAGGAUUUGGUUACGCAGGUGACAGAAGAGCAGAGAAACCAAACCAAAGAUUCAGCCAGAGAUUAAUGACAAAACACCAUUCCUGGGUGGAGGGAAGGGCUUCUGGAGCACAGGGUGCAGGGUCACCUGGUGGAGGUGGGGACCACAGCAGGACUAGCAGACAGAAGUUCAGACCACAGACAUGAUGCCACAACUAACUGGGACAUGGAGCCAAAUGCAGAGAGGAAAAACACUGGCUUUCCCUCCCUCUCUGUCCUGUCGCCUAUUGUUGUCCCAUUGGACAAAUCAGCUGCUCUGAGAGUUUGGGACAUGCAGCCUGAAAGGGUUACCCCCAAAGGAUGCAGAGUUGAGUAGGGGACACGGGAGGAAGAUCUGAUGGAUGGCAGGGUGCCAAGGACCAACACCAAGGUGGCAGGAGCAGGGUGGCUGCAGGCAAUACCCCUGCAGCAUUUAUACCCCAAACACUUAGCAAUGUUGGGUGCAGGCCCUUGCGGGAAGGUUUGAACAACAACCCAGCAACUCGGGAGGUUGAGGCAGGAGGAUCCCAAGUUCAAGGCCAGCCUCAGCUUAGACUCUUAUGACUUGUGAUCAGAACGAUGAUAUGUGAAUAAAUCAAAGGCAAGAAAAAUAUAAUGUGAGAGAAAUCAAACAAGCCAAUAUCUAUGUUGGAUAGAGUUUGUCAUUCCCAGUGUGGUGUUCUGGACACGGCGGAUCCCUUUAGUAUGCAAAAUAGGUGAGGUGGACACUGCUUAAAGUUGAAACGGCCUGGGGGGUCUCACCAUCCACCUCAUGUCCACAGGGUGCUGCAGGUAUACUGUGACCCCAGGAAGGCCCCUCGAUGUCAGGCCUAACACACAGUUUUGGCAACACUGUAGGUCACCUUUUCAAGACCUACUAAGGAUCUCAAGAGAUGUCAAAUUAAAUCCUUGGGGUUUAAUACCACGUGGUUUAAAAUAGUGAGAAACAGACAGAAAGCUGGACUCCGUCUCCUGAGUGAACUUGUCCCUGAAUGCACAGCUGAUGCCACAGAGUCUAACUUCAGGAGGAAGAGAGGGCAAAUAUUGAGCUCCAGACAGAGAAUGGCAAUUCCUGGCUUUAAAAGUUUCUUCCUCUGAUUGGGUAGAGAGAGGUGAGGGGAGGGGAGGGAAGGGGGGAUAGGAAGGGCAGCAGAAUACAACGGACACUAGUAUGGCCCUAUGUAUAAACGUGGCUGUAUAACCAAUGUGAUCCUGCAGUCUGUACACGUGGGAAAAUAAGAAUUCAUACCCCAUUUGAAUCAAAUGUUUGAUAUGUCAAGAUCAUUGUAUUGUCUUGAGCAACUAAUAAAAAAAAAGUUUCUACUUC